rnacentral:rRNA from 1 species
UCGGGAAUUUUGGGCAAUGGGCGAAAGCCUGACCCAGCAACGCCGCGUGAAGGAUGAAAUCCCUCGGGAUGUAAACUUCGCAAGAACGGGAAGAAUAAGUUUCAGCAAAUAUCUGAAACGAUGACGGUACCGUUUGUAAGCUCCGGCUAACUCCGUGCCAGCAGCCGCGGUAAUACGGGGGGAGCAAGCGUUGUUCGGAUUUACUGGGCGUAAAGGGCGCGUAGGCGGCCAGCACAAGUCAGUUGUGAAAUCUCCGAGCUUAACUCGGAAAGGUCAACUGAUACUGUGCGGCUAGAGUGCAGAAGGGGCAACUGGAAUUCUUGGUGUAGCGGUGAAAUGCGUAGAUAUCAAGAGGAACACCUGCGGCGAAGGCGGGUUGCUGGGCUGACACUGACGCUGAGGCGCGAAAGCCAGGGGAGCGAACGG